rnacentral:rRNA from 1 species
UACGGAGGUUGCAAGCGUUGUUCGGAAUGACUGGGCGUAAAGGGAGCGCAGGCGGCUUGUUAAGUCUGGAGUGAAAGCCCGGGGCUCAACCCCGGCGGGUCUUCGGAUACUGGCAAGCUAGAGUACGGAAGAGGAAAGCGGAAUUCCAGGUGUAGCGGUGAAAUGCGUAGAUAUCUGGAGGAACACCGGUGGCGAAAGCGGCUUUCUGGUCCGAUACUGACGCUCAUGCUCGAAAGCGUGGGGAGCAAACGGGAUUAGAUACCCGUGUAGU